GACAGUGGAGGCUCUAACUCUGUCCCUUCUUGGAAAACAAUGCCUCCAGGCUUGACUACAGACCUCCAGCAUAAAGGAGGAGAAAACAUGAACGUAGGGAGUUUUCUUUCCUUGGCUAAGAUCCCACAACUUCGGUGCUCCUGAGAGGUCCCCCUGGUCUGGAUGACAGCCGGUUUGAGCUGAAGCAGUGACAGCAGUCUGCUUCCUCAUGAGCUGAUACAUCCAGUGUCAGCACCAUGCCAGCAGUCACCGGCAGAUGAACAACAGACAUUGAUGGAUGGGUUUUAACUGGUGAGUCUGUUGAAGACCCUGGACUUAUUUCUGGU